CUCAUCAUACAAAAGAAUCCUAUAAAACAAAGAUAAUAACAAUGAAAUGUAACAAAUUAAUGAAUCUCAAAGAGAAGUUUAAGAAGAAGAAUUGAAACACACAAAUGUUAUAUUACAGUGUUUUAUUUAGAUAAAUUUCAAACUCCAUUAAUUAAUAUUAGAAGUUAGAAUAUUGAAUAUUUUGGAAGGUGAUCGUUAGGAAACUUAAAAAUUAACCAGGAUAAGAUACAGGAAGCAUUGCAUUCAAGGAGAGAAACUGUAAUUAUUUUUCAUGAAUAAGAGAAUUAAAUAUUUUUAAAAAAUAUUUUAACAUGUAAAAUAAGGAGUUUGACAUAGAUGAAUUUGAUGUUAUGCCUAAUUUUUCAAAUGCAUAUAUAUAUAAAUAAUUUAAUUUAUGGUAAGUUAACAUCAUCAUGAAGACAUAAAACUUUUUUUAUUAUUAUACUUUAAGUUCUGGGGUACACGUGCAGAAUGUUCAGGUUUUUUACUUAGGUAUACACGUGCCAUGGUGGUUUGCUGCACCCAUCAACCCAUCAUCUACAUUAGGUAUUUAACCCAGUGCUAUCCCUCCCCUGUCCCCCCACCCCCUGACAGGCCCUGGUGUGUGAUGUUCCCCUCCCUGUGUCCAUGUGAUCUCAUUGUUCAACUCUCACUUAUGAGUGAGAACAUGAGGUGUUUUGUUUUCUGUUCUUGUGUUAGUUUGCUGAGAAUGAUGGUUUACAGCUUCAUCCAUGUCCCUGCAAAGGACAUGAACUCAUCCUUUUUUAUGGCUGCAUAGUAUUCCAUGGUGUAUAUGUGCCACAUACAUUUGUUUUACAGUCUGUGAAGAGAUUCAGUGAAUAUCACAUUUAAAGACCUGUAUUUACCUCCCCGUCUCUCCCGUGUAACAAAACCUAAAACUACAAAGGAAAAGAUAAGGAAUAUCAUUGCCCUUGGGACACUGGUAAAACUAAUUGAACUUUGGAGAUGGGAAAACAAAAAAGAGGAAAAAAAUAUGUGGAGGAUUUAGAUGUACACCUGAAGUUUGGACAGGAUCAUUAAGAAGGUUCCAGCCAUGAAGACCCAGAAACAGUGUCAACCUGUGACUGAGCUUCAUCAGAAUGACAGAGUAUGCUUCUCCAUCCUCAUCCCCACUCCCAACUAGGCUAACAAUUGUUGAGUAACAGGUCAAAGCAGUGUCUUCUGGGGGACUGAACGGAAUUUGAAGGGAAACUUAAAGGUGAGGAUACAGCAGAUACUGAGAAAAGCUGCUGAACCAGUCCAAUCCGAAACACAAAGUAAUGCUAGAUGAGCAGGAAACCUAUGGUGCACUGAAAUUAACUCUAAGAGGAACAAGACCCAAAACCAAAUCAACUCCUGACUAGAUUGAUUCAACCUUCUCCCUCAAAACACACACAUUCAGCCUAGUAAAAGGGAACACAUGUUGGUUUUGCUUUCUAUAUUAGUCUACUCUACACAGUUCACUUUUUGAGUAAAACUUACCAGACAUAUAUAGAAACAGAAAAGAUACAUAAAGGAAACACUGUUAAGAGACUAAGCAAUAAAUAAAGCCAGAUUCAAAUGUGGCAGAGGUGUUGGAAUUACCUUUCAAGUAGAUCUCAUAGGUACUGUUUUAGAAGCCCUUAGUAGGGUAUAAAGCCUCCUUUUUUUUUUAUUAUACUUACGUGACAAGAUCAUCCUUUUAUCCUCUUAUAUAAAAAAAUUUCUAAUCCACAUUCAUCUCCGUAUUGGCAGUUACAUUUUUUGACACUUUACAAAUAUUAGUCCACUGUCUUAUUCUUACAUUUAUGAUUGUGGAGCAGUCUGUUGUCAUUCUAUUAUGUGUUCCCUCAAAAUGAAACAGUUUAUUUUGGCUUCUUUUAAGAGAUUCUUCAUCUUCAGUAGUGGUUUCAAACUUAAACACAUCAUCAUGAAUCAGCCACCAAAGAAGAAAAUUACUAAAAAUCAGCCAAAAUAUAUUGUUUUGCACAUUCAAUACAAAGUAAAGUUAUAUUUUACACAUCCAAAAUGGGGAUUGGUUGGCUUCCUGAAUUCAUUUGUUUACUCUGAAAAAAUUAUCAAACAUUAUACCCUUGAAUAUGUUCUCUCCUCAUCUUCUCUAGUUAGCUCUACUUUGUGCUACAGCCAAUCACACAUGAUGCUGUUUAUAAAGCACAUACAUGAUACUCUCAUCCUCGAUGUGUCACUCACUCUCCUAGUUUACCUCUGUUUGUCCAUCUGUGAAGCCCUCAUGACAUAUCUUUAUAUCUAUUAACCAAUUCACACUUUCUGCAGCUUCAUUUAAGUUGCUAAACAAAGUUUUCACUAAACAGCAAAUUUUACUUAUUUCACUUUUUAUCAAUAUAAAUUAUAAUUUUUAUUCUUCAAUGUCUGCCAAAUGUGAAAAAAAAUUCAUGUAUAUAUUAUAUAUAUUUAUAUAUGUAUGUGUUAUAUGGAUAUACACAAAAUUGCUAUUGGUAAAGGUGGUUUUCAUAGGAGCCUAUAAUUACUAGAGAUUUUAUUUUUCCUUAAAGAUAUUAUAUUUCCUUAAAGAUAUUCUAUUUCUUAAUUUAUAAUACAGAUAAUUCUUAUGCUUUUAUUAAAAACAUAAAAUAACAGGCUGGGUGCAGUGGCUCACGUCCAUAAUUUUAGCUCUUUGAGAAAAUGAGCCUAGCAGUUUAAGGCUGCAAUGAACUGUGAUUGUACCACUGCACUCCAGCCUGGGCUACAGAACCAGAAUAUGUACAUAUAUACAUAAAUUGACAGUAAUGCAUUAAAACCUGAAAUCAAGUUUUAAAAGCAACAGCAAAGUGCAUUUCCAGUCUAGUUCAGUGACUAUUAAAAUUAAAGCCAACUUCAGGCAAAACAUUUCCAAAAACAUAAGACAAAAAACAAACACAAAGAAAAAGGAGAAAAAAUAUUCCAGACUUUUGAAGACAUUUAUUAAAAUCAUAAAUUGAUGGUAUCCUCUUUCUCAUCUUUUGAUGAGUAAAAUAAAGUACCCCAAAAAUUAUCUACAAAUUUGGUAUUUGAGGGUUCUUUUGUUGUAAACUCAGUGGUUCUUGAUGAGAGGAAGUUUAAAGUUUAUUUAUGGAAAUUAGCCAAGGUGUCGAAUCAAUCAUUUUUUCUCCUCUGGUGAAACCUAAUCAAGAACCCUAAUGGCUAUCCCAAACUCCAAGAAACAUACAACCUUUUCAAAAGGGCUGUGAUUUUUCAGAGAUUCAAUACAAAGAGGUACAAGGAGCCAAGCUCAUUCUUCUCUGGGACACACAGAGUGGCUU
rnacentral:lncRNA from 1 species